UUGUGAAUAAAUAUAUAUAUUCAAUUACAUGUAUUAAACAUAUACAUAAUAUGUUUUAUAUAUGUAUUUAUAAUGCAUUUUAUAUAUAUACAGUCUGCCCUCUAGUUAUGACCUUCUUACCUUUUGGCACUUUGUGUGAGUUUAAUAGCUUUCAAAUCAUCAUGAAAAAGAAAACACACCGUUCAAUAUAUAAUGAUUCUUUGGGACCGACUGCAAUAUCGAGAAACAGAAUCCAUUGCCUCCUAUGGCAGCCUCAGGAUAAACCUCUAUCCCGUUUAUUGAGAUACUUCCAGUCCUGUGGCCACUGCUGAGUUUUCCAAAUCACUGCGGAUGGUGAUUGCAGCCAUGAAAUUUAAAGACGCUUGCUUCUUGGAAGGAAAGUUAUGACCAACCUAGACAGCAUAUUAAAAAGCAGAGAUAUUACUUUGCCAACUAAGGUAUGUCUAAUCAAGGUUAUGGUUUUUCUAGUAGUCAUGUAUGGAUAUGAGAGUUGGACUAUAAAGAAAGCUGAGUGCUGAAGAAUUGAUGCUUUUGAACUGUGAUGUUGGAGAAGACUCUUGAGAGUCCCUUGGACUGCAAGGAGAUCCAACCAGUCCAUCCUAAAGGAGACCAGUCCUGGGUGUUCAUUGGAAGGACUGAUGUUGAAGCUAAAACUCCAAUACUUUGGCCACCUGAUACGGAGAGCUGACUCAUCUGAAAAAAUCCUGAAGCUGGGAGGGAUUGAAGGCAGGAGGAGAAGGGGACGACAGAGGAUGAGAUAGUUGGAUGGCAUCACUGACACAAUGGACAUGGGUUUCGGUAGGCUGCGGGAGUUGGUGAUUUGACAGGGAGGCCUGGCCCAUGGGGUUGCAAAGAGUCGGACAUGACUGAGAGAUUGAACUGAACUGAGAUACUUCAUGACAUUGUAGGGAAUGGUUUAUGUCCAGUUAAGAAAAUGCUUACUAGGCCAUUGCUGGUAUAGUCUUCUAAACAUGCUAGUUAGGUUUAGCUAGUUGAUAGCCUUUUCAAUAUCCUAUGUUUAUUAAUCUACUGACCUUAUCAAUUGCUCAGAGAAGUGUUAAACACACAAAGCUGGAUGAUUUAGCUCUUAAAUCUGCCUACUUUUGUUCUGUUAAUGGCAAACACUAUUGGCAUUUAUAAAUAGAAUUAUUAUGUCUUAAUGAAUUAAUCCCUUUCUAUUUGACAUGUCACCUUUUACCAGUUAAUACUCCUUCUCUUGAAUCCACUUUCCAUGUUACUAAGCCACACCUGAUUUUUGACAUUUAGUGCUUACAUGUUAUUUCUUUCUCCUGAAUUUUUUCAGGUCUUUAUAUGGAGUUUAAUAUGUAUAAACACCAUAUUAUUAUAUUUUCUUUU
rnacentral:lncRNA from 1 species